AAGCAAGAAACUUACUGUAAUAUGGUUUCGGCCCAUAACCAGGUGCAUCCUUACACCCUUGCUUU
rnacentral:tRNA from 1 species